UGAUUGCACUCUACCACGGAGCAUAGCCGAUUCCUUACCGGUUUAGUUUAGUGCUUAGUUCUUCCUGUUUUAAUUGGUUUUACCAUUUAUUUUUUGUAUUGACAUGUCUACCAGAAUUUUUUUUUAUUUUCAUAAAUUAAAUGAACUCAAAUAAAUAGUUAGAGAUAGCCACAAAUAAAAGUUAAGAGUAUUCAUAAACCGACGCGACUGUUUUGUUUUUGCCUUGUUUUGAUUUCGCGACAACGUAGCCGCAUUUGACAUCCACAUCCACGCUAGCUAUAGGGCACUGACCAUGCCCAUAAUUGAAUUAGCGGCUCUGAUUGAUUGACUGUUCCACGAUGCAGCAGAUGGCCGCAAGUCCACUUGUCCGGAUCCUGAUCCUUCUGCUGGCCACCGGCGCUAGCGGCCAGAAGCAGUACUCCAAGGCGAGGAAGCUGGAACUGAGGGAGGAUGUGCGCCGAAUGUUUCAGCACGCUUACGAGGGUUACCUGCGCCACGCCUCCAACUACGACGAGCUGCGCCCGCUGACCUGUGACGGCCACGAUACCUGGGGCAGCUACUCCCUGACCCUGAUCGACGCCCUGGACACGCUGGCCACCAUGGGAAACUUCUCGGAGUUCCGACGUGUUGCCCAGCUGCUUGAGGAGAAGAUGAACUUCGACCGGGACAUCAAUGUAUCCGUAUUCGAGACAAACAUCCGCAUCGUUGGCGGCCUGCUGUCCGCGCAUCUGCUCUCCAAAAGGGCUGGCAUUGACUUGGAGCAGGGAUGGCCCUGCAAGGGGCCCCUGCUGCGGCUGGCAGAGGACGUGGCCCGGCGAUUGCUGCCCGCCUUCGACACGAACACGGGCAUGCCCUACGGAACGGUGAACCUGCGCUACGGCGUGCCCAAAGGCGAGACCUCCGUGACAUGUACGGCGGGCGUGGGUACCUUCCUCAUCGAAUUCGGCACCCUGAGUCGGUUAACCGGCAACAGCAUAUACGAGGAGGUGGCCAUGCAGGCGGUUCACGCACUCUGGGCCUAUCGCUCGCCCAUUGGGCUCUUCGGCAAUCACAUCGACGUGCAGAGUGGCCGCUGGACAGCCCUGGACUCGGGCAUUGGUGCCGGAGUGGACUCCCUGUUCGAGUACCUGGUAAAGGCAUCUGUGCUGCUUAACCGCCCGGAACUAUUGGAGCUAUUUCACGAAGCCCGCUCGGCGAUCGACAAGUACAUGCGCAAGGAGGACUGGUACGUGUGGGUCGGCAUGAACAAGGGCCACGUCACCCUGCCCGUUUUUCAGUCCCUUGAGGCCUUUUGGCCCGGCAUUCUCAGCAUCGUUGGAGACACAGAGCCGGCAUUGCGCACCAUUUCGAGGUACAUUGGAGUCUGGAAGAAAUACGGCUUCCUGCCGGAGUUCUACAACAUCGCUGCGGGAGAGGCUUCACCGAAUCGGGAGGUGUAUCCACUGCGACCGGAGCUAAUCGAAUCGGCCAUGUAUCUCUAUCGGGCCACGAGGAAUGAGUACCUUCUGGAGCUGGGAGAGCACAUGCUGGAGACCCUCGAGUUUAGUGCCAAAACCAAGUGCGGAUAUGCAACGAUCCGGAAUGUGGUCACCCAUGAAAAGGAAAACCGCAUGGAGUCGUUCUUCCUGGCGGAGACGAGCAAGUACCUGUAUCUCCUGUUCGACGAGGACAACUUCCUGCACAACGAUGGCUCUGGAGGGGAGCUACUGUCCACCGAGGAUGAUGUGUGCGUGGUGCAGGCUGGUGCCUACAUUUUUAACACAGAGGCCCACCCCAUGGACAUGUCAGCCAUCCACUGCUGUCACGCCCACAAGGAGGACAUAUACUCAUCGUUGGAUCUGCAGCGCUUCAGUCCGCGGGCGAUCUUCGAGAGAAGCAGGGAACGCCAGGUGACAGCGCAGGAGCAGUGGGUGCCGCAGUGUCAACCGGAGAACUACGAGUAUUUCUACAAGGAGCAGGACAACGUGCAUGCGCAGGAAGCAGCAAGAGCUGGAGAGCCGGGACGAGAGCAAUCCGGCGCAAGCACCACCAUGGCCGUGGACAUUGAAGUGUUCGAUGAGUUUCAGCAGCCCGCCGGGGAUCUGCUAGUGAGCAACUUCGAGCGAAUACGGGAAGAGCGGGAGCUGAACGAAAGCUUGCAAAGAAGCGAGGUGCCACGUAAUCAAUUGACCGUUAGCGAUCUUGACGAAUUCUUCGCCCAGCGGCGGGAGAAUUUUGGCAGCGCCUCCGAGGCUCUUAACUAUGUGCUGGCCUUCAUGGGCAACUACACCAUGGAUGUGGCCUUCAUCCGAGGCCUGCAAUUGUACGAUGCCAACAUCAGUAGUGUCCUGGGAACAGGUGCCCAAAAAGAGUAUGAGUCUCGAAUGAGAUCCCUUUGGCAGCUGUACGAACUAGAGCAGCAGUUUGCGGCCAACAUACGGCUUAUCCAGGGACUAGGCUUGCUCACUUUUCAGGCGGACGGUGAGCGGAUGCGCAGCCACUUAGCGGAGGUGUUGGACAGCCUGGAUAGGCCGGCCCACUUGGAGGAGCAAGAUCCGCAGGAUCUUCAGCCGAGAGUGGUCAAUGCCUCAUCGCCCCAGCUACGCAACAUAAGAGAAGUUAUUUUAAAGGUGCGCAAUGCCUAUGCCAUUGCCAUGGUCAAUACCACGGCGAUGCAGGAGUUCGCCAUCCGCAUCUACCUUAGUGGCACUGCGGAGGCCGGCGUACGCAUUCACCCACUGCUGGAACCCACCGAGCUAAGACAGGAGGAACGGAUGAGACCACUAAAGCUGGCGGAGGAGCGGGCGCUCUUCAGCUACGCCCGGCGAAUUGUGGACUUUCGGAAACGAAUGGCAGAGACAGUGGACCGACUGCAGACGCUCAUGCAGGACAGUCCGCCGGCCAAGAGUAAAGGGGCCGGUGCAGAUCCUCAACCGAGCAAGGCGGAUGCGUCCACUGUUUACGCCCAAACCGAAGCCAAGGCGGUGGAAAAGGCAGGGCAGCAGGAGCAGAAGUUGGAGACAAAGCAGCCAACUCAGAUUAGAAAGGAGAAGCUGACGGAAGAUGACUCGGGAUCGGGACAAGAGGAGUCCGGCUCGGUCUGGUCGCAGUUCGUGCAGACCAUCCUGCGGAAGACCACAGUGCAGCGGGUCAAGUUCGACGAGGCCGUGCUUCUGGAGAAGACGCGCAAGGCGUUGGAGAAGCACGCCCACAAGGAGCUACCCCACCACCUGUUCGCCUGCCACCGGCCGGAGUACAUUGAGGGCUUUGCCUAUCGGGACUUCUAUCCGGAGCCGCUGUAGUUUCCCAUCCACUACGACAACUAAACACGACUGAUCUGUAGAUAUAUAUUUAGUCAGUUAGGGGGUAUUCGCUCUGGUGGCUGCAACCACAAAUAUAAUUCUCACUGAGCUUUCAUUUCCGAUCGUACUAGAUCUUAGCCCUUCGAGGUUCAAUUGAAUAGCGAUUGAAGAAAGUUUUUGGAGCAUUUGUAUAUACCUCAAUCUCGAAAGAGAUCUAUCAUUCUCCCAGAAUGCUACCGAUCAUUAUAGUUUUAGAACGAGACAUAUUUAUUAUGAUUCAAAACUGGAUAUGCAUUUUUUAAAUGUAUAAAGAUUUUUUUGUUUUAUUUUUAGCUCUGAUACAAUUUUAAUAUUUAACAGAAAAAUUAAAAUGGUUCUUGAAAACGAUGAUACUUUUUCAUAUUAACCAUAAUUGUAAUAAGAUACUAUUAAAGGGACUGCCUUUAAAAAAUGUUUAUAUUAAAUUAUGGUUUUUAAAAUGUAUAUCUCAAUACCUUAAUUAACACAAAUGUAAUUUUGAUGGAAUUAUUGUACUUUUACAUUAACCUCCGGGAAUUGACGUAGGAAUACUUAAGAUCAUCCACCAAGAAAAAAACUAUGCAAGAACCAAGUGCGAAUACCCCUUCAGCUAGGAGUGCCAAAAGUCAAGCGGCUCUUCUUGUUCCAGCAAUUAAUUUAUUAAUAUAUCCCCAUUUGCGGUGGUAUAUUCAAGACAUCUAAGGCUAUAUACCUAUAAUAAUCGUAUGUUUGAGUGUGCAUGAUUCGAUUAAGCUGAAAUUGAUGACUUCGAGCCAGUUGUACAACCCGAAAAGGAUAUAAAAAAUUACGGCAGCCAAGUGGCGGAUGUGGUUGCCACCUCAUCCUCCGGCUCCAGAGGAUUGCGGCUGCGAUUGUUUGGACACGCAACGGCAAUCGCUUCAAUGGGUUAUUUUCGGAAAUCGCUGUUUACUUCAAGGAUUCGGUUUUUUGGCUUGUACCAAAUUACGACAACGACAUGAAAUGGAGCCAAUAUUUGGCAGGAUGGGAACAGUGAUGCGAAAGGUAUGAAAACCUUUUAAAAUUUAAAGAGAAACAUUUGUACCCCUCUCAACAAAAUGUUUCUUCGGCUUAGGAAGUUGAGUUCUUAAGUUGACCAAGAUAUUAGUCCGAUCGAUAUAAAAUUUGGUAUAUGGGUGAAAAUUAAAAAAACAAAAAAUAUAUAUUUUUCUUUAAAUUUUUGGACAUCACAAGAGCACCA